rnacentral:rRNA from 1 species
GAUGAACGCUGGCGGCGUGCCUAAUACAUGCAAGUCGAACGCAUAGCGAAAGCUUCUUGCACCUUUCCGGUGAGUGGCGAACGGGUUAGUAACACGUGGACAACCUCCCUCAAGGCUGAGGAUAACAUUUGGAAACAGAUGCUACUACCGAAUAAAACUUAGUGUCGCAUGACACAAAGUUAAAAGGCGCUUCGGCGUCACCUAGCGCUGGAUCCGCGGUGCAUUAGUUAGUUGGUGGGGUAAAGGCCUACCAAGACGAUGAUGCAUAGCCGAGUUGAUAGACGGAUAGGCCACAUUAGGACUGAGACAGGGACAAUAGUACUGAGAGAGGCCGCAGAAUGGAACGGGACACAGAGGGCGAAAGUCUGACGGAGCAACGCCGCGUGUGUGACGAAGGCGUUGGGUUCGGGAAGAACGCUUGUAGGGGAAGAACAGCUAGAAUAGGAAAUGAUUCGAGUGUGACGGUAACAGACCAGAAAGGGACGGCUAAAUACGUG